rnacentral:misc_RNA from 1 species
CCGCGUACACGGCCGGCUGCGACGCCGACCCGAAGGCGGUCGCCUGCGACUACCCGCCGUACACGCUCAACAAGAUCGUCUCGACGGACUUCGCCGAGAACGGCGGCGACGCCUACACGCUGAUCAAGAACUUCCAGUGGACGAACGAGGACCAGAACCAGGUCGCGGACUACAUCACCAACCAGGCGAUGAGCGCGGACGAGGCCGGCGACAAGUGGAUCGCCGACAACGAGGCGAAAUGGUCGGCGUGGUUGCCGGCCGGCUCCUGAUCGAUCACUGACGGCUGGGCGACGCGCCGUCGUGGCCCAGCGUCCCAACGGACCGAGCCUGCGGUGGUCCGGUCCACGCGAUAUCGUCCUGGUCACGCCGCGUUAACGAACCGGUCACAUGGUCUUGACGCCCGUCGACCUGAGUUGUGCAAUGCGGCGACCGAGCGUCGUGCAUCGUUUCCGCGGUGACGACAGGUCGCCGCCAGCCCAGACGGUGUCAGCGGGCUGAGGAGGGCCCGCGAGCCGGCAGGUAUGGGCGGAUGGCGAUCCGCCAUGACCCCGACGGCCGGGGCUGGUCCAUCGAUCACU